rnacentral:rRNA from 1 species
UACGUAGGGUGCAAGCGUUGUCCGGAAUUAUUGGGCGUAAAGAGCUUGUAGGCGGUUUGUCGCGUCUGCUGUGAAAUUUCGGGGCUCAACCCCGAACUUGCAGUGGGUACGGGCAGACUAGAGUGUGGUAGGGGAGACUGGAAUUCCUGGUGUAGCGGUGAAAUGCGCAGAUAUCAGGAGGAACACCAAUGGCGAAGGCAGCUCUCUGGUACGUGACUGACACUGAGACGCGAAAGCGUGGGGAGCGAACAGG